UCAAGAUUGGCCGAGAGGUUAAGGCGUUAGAAUGAGGUUCUAAUGUACAGACGUACGCGUGGGUUCGAACCCCACAUCUUGAA
rfam:Hanseniaspora valbyensis NRRL Y-1626 HANVAscaffold_534, whole genome shotgun sequence.